AUAACAGAGAUUAAAGUGAGUAUGAUACGAAGAGAUGAUAAGAGUUUGGUGACUCGUUUAACUCGGUGGUUUAAGUGUUUGCAGGAAACGAUGAUGGGGGAGGACGAAGAUCUGAGGAGCCAUCGAGUCGUUCAGCAGGUGCUUCUUGCGCAGGACCAGCAGGAAGAGGACGAGCAGGCCGAUGAGCAGGAUGCUGAGCACGGCCAGAGCCGAGAUGGCGGCGACGCUCGGGUUCAUCUCUUUGGCUGCAGACGCAGAGGAAGCAGGUGCAGCAUCGGUGCACCGGACAGCGCCACCUACCGACAGUGGUGAUGGUGAUGUGUGCAGGUUUGCUGGGCGUGCUGUAGCUGAAGCUGGUGACGGUGCAGUUGUAGGUGGACGAGGGCAUCAAACCAGAAACGAUCACCACGUGGGAGCUGGCCAUCUGAGGCUCACGGGCCUGAAAGAGACCGUUUAAAAACUCAGAGACAGAUCCUCAGCUCCUGACAGGCUGAUCCUGAUCCUGAUCCUGAGGAGGCCGCAGGGUUUCCCAUUCACUUCCCUGAGAAACGAGAGAAGGAGGAAACACGUGUGACGACUCAGUGACGCUACGAACACGGAACGUCCCAACGUCCAGGAAACAACAGCAAGAGCUCGGUUUGAAUACUGUUACUGUGUGUGUGUGUCAGUGUGUGUGUGUCUGUGUGUGUCUGUGUGUGUGUGUCUGUGUGUGUCUGUGUGUGUGUGUCUGUGUGUGUGUCAGUGUGUGUGUGUGUGUGUGUGUGUG